CCUACGGGAGGCAGCAGUGAGGAAUAUUGGUCAAUGGGCGAGAGCCUGAACCAGCCAAGUCGCGUGAAGGAUGAAGGAUCUAUGGUUUGUAAACUUCUUUUAUAUGGGAAUAAAGUGAGGAACGUGUUCUUUUUUGUAUGUACCAUAUGAAUACGCAUCGGCUAACUCCGUGCCAGCAGCCGCGGUAAUACGGAGGAUGCGAGCGUUAUCCGGAUUUAUUGGGUUUAAAGGGUGCGUAGGUGGUUAAUUAAGUCAGCGGUGAAAGGUUGUGGCUUAACCAGAAAAUUGCCGUUGAUACUGGUUGACUAGAGUAUAUUUGAGGUAGGCGGAAUGUGUGGUGUAGCGGUGAAAUGCAUAGAUAUCACGCAGAACUCCGAUUGCGAAGGCAGCUUACUAAACUAUAACUGACGCUGAAGCACGAAAGCGUGGGGAUCAAACAGGAUUAGAUACCCUAGUAGUC
rnacentral:rRNA from 1 species